AUUGAACGCUGGCGGCAUGCUUUACACAUGCAAGUCGGACGAGUGGCGAACGGGUGAGUAAUAUAUUGGAACGUACCGAGUAAUGGGGGAUAACCAAUCGAAAGAUUGUCUAAUACCGCAUAUUAUUCGUGCGGCCCAUAUCUGAUUAGCUGGUUGGUGGGGUAAAGGCCUACCAAGGAGACGACCAGAAGCGGGUCUGAGAGGAUGAACCGCCACACUGGGACUGAGACACGGCCCAGACUCCUGCGGGAGGCGGCAUUGGGAAAUUUUGGACAAUGGGCGCAAGCCGGAGCCGGCCAGGCCGCGGGUCUGAAGAAGGCCUUCGGGUUGUAAGGGCCUUUUGUGAGGGAAGCGGUACCUAAAGAAUAAGCACCGGCUAACUACGUGCCAGCAGCCGCGGUAAUUC
rnacentral:rRNA from 1 species